rnacentral:rRNA from 1 species
CUGCUGCCUUCCGUAGGAGUCUGGUCCGUGUCUCAGUACCAGUGUGGGGGACCUUCCUCUCAGAACCCCUACGCAUCGUCGCCUUGGUGGGCCGUUACCCCGCCAACUAGCUAAUGCGCCGCAUGCCCAUCCGUCUCCGAUAUUCUUUCAAAACCAGACGAUGCCGUCCAGCUUCAUACGGGGUAUUAGACGCCGUUUCCGACGAUUAUCCCCCUGAGACGGGCAGGUUGCAUACGUGUUACUCACCCGUGCGCCGGUCGCCGG